UGGCUAGCCCUUGAAUAUACGCUUUAUACAUCAACCAUUUUAAUUUCAACUACUUUGAGAGGUAAGGAUUCGUAUUUGCCAAUAAUCAGAGAAUCCAAAGGAAGGACUCAUCCCAAAUUCUUGUGCACUCCGAUCCUGACUGGCGAGCGAGACCACUAAUUUCAGACUUCCAUAAAGGGAAGUGGUUCGAAGCCAUCUCAUCAAUCGUGUUAUUAUGCAUAAAGACCAUUUUCAAACUUCUUAAAUGGAUCGUUUGGAACACAAGAGGUUCUCUGCGAACACGCCGUACUCCGUAUCGCAAUGGAGAACACACUAGAAUGCUCAAGAACGCCGAGUCCUGAACUCUACCAUCCCCAUCAUCACUACCGUCCGUUCCCAAGCUUAUCGAGUUUCAAGUUGUGCGUAAGAUACAGCGAAAAUAGGACAGAGGAAAAGUUCUCAAUAAGGCCCUGGAGGAUUGGGGCCUCCUUUGGGCACCAGAUCAGCAAAGAGUUCCUAAUCCCCUGCCUGCCUGCCUGCCUGCCUGUCUGUCUGUCUGUAGGUAACCCUCACCUUCGUCAUGUGUAACAGCAGUAAGCGUUCCCUGGCUGAAUGGCCUCAGGCCCAGGAUAGAGAAAAAAUCAGGGGCUUUUUCAAUCUUCGUCGCCUUCAUCGGACUUAAAUCUCGCGCAUGCGGACUGUAAAGCUCGUCGGAUCUUAAUACUUUUCUUUGGCGGUUUUCACAACUCGAUUGGAUACACAUGCUCCACUUGAAGAACGACUCGUUUUCCUUCUUGAAGGGAUGUCGAGGGGUAGGUAGUGAGUCCACACGGGAGCCUCUCUCUUUUCUCUCCCACAUCAUUUUUUACCAAUUUCUCCGCCAUCGGAAAUUUCGUGGUUUUCCGAUCACCCAAAAACGGAGCUCCUUUGGACUCCCAUCCCAAGCACUUGAGAUCCAUUCUCCAAUAUACAUUUCAACAAUCUGCAUAUUAUCGAUUUCGUUUAUUUAGCAUAAAUUUGACCUGUCAUCCUUUUGUAGUGGGAGCGAACUUUUUUGCUCUAAGAUGUGAAAUCAACGAUUGGCAAACCACAAUCGACACUGAAGUGAAUAAAUCUUUGCUAACUUUCCGUUUUGUUAUCCUUGUGUUUGCUCUCGAUUGAUCAAAUUGUUUUGUUUGUUUCCAAGUCAGAUCAGGGCUGGAAAAGAGGAUGUCCGCAAAUCCAUAUCAAGCAUGCAUUAACUUGCGACACACAUUCGGCUAAACAUGAUAGAAUCUCCUACCCACGUUUCUGGAGUGCUUUGCUUAGAUUCCGCGAACCCGUGAUUGGAACUCAUUCAUUCCUCUGUGACGAUUAGUUCCAUCUAAAAACAACCUCAAGAUGUAAAGUACUGCCCUUGAUUGUUUUCGUUCCUGGUGUAACCAGGUCUUUAAAGGUGAACAAUCAAAAUGAACGGAUCGCGUUUCCCGCCCUCAAGAGUGAGCUUUCCUUUUUUUUACCCCACCGGGGGAAAGUCAUCCCUCACUCUAGGCGUACCAUCGAGCAUGUACUAAAAGCAUAUCUGUAGAGAAAGUGAAGACAAGUUGGAAACUAGGUAAAAGCAUGGCAGCUGACCCUCCUUUCUCCCUUAAGCCUUCAUCACACGACGUUAAAUGUGGCAGGCAAGUUGUGGUCCAUCCUUGGAGUAAAGUCUUAGAACAUUUAGAAGGAUCCCCACCAUCACGCAUUUACUGAGCCGCUACAUUAAAGCCUUCCCGUUUAGUUAUGUCUGCCCAACAGAGAAUGAAAGUGGCGAAUGAAAAAGCCAGCAAAAACAUCACUCAACGGGGAAACGUCAUUCGAUCGGUGAAACAACAAGAAGAGAAGUAUCCGGUGGGGCCGUGGCUACUCGGAUUAUUUGUGUUCGUGGUCUGUGGAUCGGCAAUAUUCCAACUGAUCCAAUCGAUAUGGAUGUCAAAGAUGUGAAGCUCCUUUGACUCAACCACAUGCACCCCCUCCCAUUUCCUACUAAAAAAUCCGCACUGAACGUGGGUUUUGCGUACAAACCGUAGAAGAAGAAUGAUCGGAUCGCUAUCAAAAGAUGGGGACAUCGUCAAUGAUGAUGUGUCAUCGGGUUGUCCACAAGUCCAAUGCUCGGAAUUCAAAUUCGGGCACCUUCAUAACCUCACUGCGAAGACUUCUCUUCCUCCGAGAUUCCUUCCAGGUUAAUCAGUCAGUAUAUUUCUAGAAAACCAUUACGGAAAAUGUAUAUCUUCGAGAACUCAAUUCAAUUUCGUAGAUUCUUUUUAUGACUUUGUUACAUGACACAUUCUCUCACACACAAGCUGAUAAUGAAUGCAAUAAAAUUGCGCAAGAUA